rnacentral:tRNA from 1 species
GUCUCUGUGGCGCAAUUGGUUAGCGCGUUCGGCUGUUAACCGAAAGGUUGCUGGUUCAAGCCCAUCCAGGGACG